rfam:Physcomitrella patens subsp. patens PHYPAscaffold_25 genomic scaffold, whole genome shotgun sequence.
UAAAAGGCUUUUAUAAAAGCCAUUUUUAGAUACCUUGAAUUAAUAU